UACUCCUACGGGAGGCAGCAGUGGGGAAUUUUGCGCAAUGGGGGAAACCCUGACGCAGCAACGCCGCGUGAGUGAUGAAGGCCUUCGGGUCGUAAAGCCCUGUCGGGAGGGAAGAACCGCUCCGACCCAAUACGUCGGAGCCUGACGGUACCUCCUAAGGAAGCACCGGCUAACUCCGUGCCAGCAGCCGCGGUAAUA
rnacentral:rRNA from 1 species